CCCUGGAAGACGCUUGGCUGUGGCCACCGGAGUGUCAUCUGGAUUCAAAGCAUACAUGAAAUAAGCUCGUUGCCAUUAGUGAUGAACUCAAGCGAGUCGGUCUCAUCUGGGGUCUCCAUGUCGUCCACGUUGAUGUCCAGGUCAUCGGGCGUUUCCAGGAAGUCGUCAGACAGCACUGAGCCCUCGCUCUGAUCCAGGGACAGGUUCAUGUCCGGGGCCACCAAGUUACUGCUUCUGUUGUCAGUGAGGCCACAUGAAGAAUCAACAUCGCCAUCUUCUGGUAGUGGCCUACAGAGAAAAUCAUCAAGAUACUACAUGAACAAAUACAAUAACAAUGGCAAAAAGUAGAAAGUAGAAAUGAACUGACAUAAAUAAAACAGUUUCUCUCCCCUUAUUUACUUCA